GGCGGUCAGAGACUAAUGGAGACACGGCUUGAGAGUGAUGACGGGGGAACAGAGGACGGAGAGCUCAGGAGGGCCCAGGUGAGGAGAAGCCUUGUGGUCUGGUGCAGCAUUUAACAGCUGCUGACAAACUGCAUGGGUUUGAAUCCAGAGCCCAUCACCUGAUAGUUUUGUGAUCCUGAGUAAGACAAGCAACAUCCAGAGAGAUAUCAUAACUUGCCAAAGGCAUGACAGCUGACACUGAGCCCGGGCUCUGCCAUCCUGAGCAUAUGAUGCUAGGCAAGUCACAUCACCUCUCUGUGCCUCAGUUUCCUCUCAACCAAAGACUAUCAUCUCUUCCCAACCUUCUACCUCACAGAGUAGUUUGGAGGAUCCCAUAAAACAAUGUCUGUGAAAAAGGCUUUUUCUUUAAAAAAUAAAUUGCACAAAUAUCAGAUCACAAAGGACGAAGACCCUUUACAGAGGAGCAAGUUCUCUAGGGCACAGCUCCCUCCGAGCAAGACUUUGUAGAGAAUCGUGACCCCGGGAACCCUGCAUCAGCAUCGCCAGUGGAUGCUGGUAUUAAUUCUGUGGACAUCAGGAGCAUGAGAAGAGACAAGGCCUUCGUGACAUUGCACAUGCAUGCUGGGUAAAUGGCUUUGCAGGGGAAAUGUCUGGAAGGCAGAGGGCUAGGAAGAAGAGUUUAUUUAGGGGGAACAUUGCAAAGAUAAUACUUCAAACUCCUUUGUAGAAAAAACUUACUUAAAAAUCCAGACCCAAAGGCUGCAGAAAGGAGUCACCCAGCAAGCACUUAACAGCCAGCGAUAACUAACAGUUUGGUACAAAAGACCAAAACUAAAGUGGGAGUGGGGAGCCGGACAAGCCAGAGUGUGCCUCACAGGCAAUGUAUCAAUAAGUUUCUUUUGGGCUUCCCUGGUGGCGCAGUGGUUGAGAGUCCGCCUGCCAAUGUAGGGGACACGGGUUCAUGCCCCGGACUGGGAAGAUCCCACAU